AUUGAACGCUGGCGGCAUGCCUUACACGUGCAAGUCGAACGGUAACAGGUCUUCGGAUGCUGACGAGUGGCGAACGGGUGAGUAAUACAUCGGAACGUGCCCAGACGUGGGGGAUAACGAGGCGAAAGCUUUGCUAAUACCGCAUACGAUCUAAGGAUGAAAGCAGGGGACCGCAAGGCCUUGCGCGUUUGGAGCGGCCGAUGGCAGAUUAGGUAGUUGGUGGGAUAAAAGCUUACCAAGCCGACGAUCUGUAGCUGGUCUGAGAGGACGACCAGCCACACUGGGACUGAGACACGGCCCAGACUCCUACGGGAGGCAGCAGUGGGGAAUUUUGGACAAUGGGCGAAAGCCUGAUCCAGCAAUGCCGCGUGCAGGAUGAAGGCCUUCGGGUUGUAAACUGCUUUUGUACGGAACGAAAAGGCUCUGGCUAAUACCUGGGGCACAUGACGGUACCGUAAGAAUAAGCACCGGCUAACUACGUG
rnacentral:rRNA from 1 species